rnacentral:tRNA from 1 species
CAGAAUAGAACAUGUAUUUUAUGUGUUUUGUUUACACCAAAAUCAAAGCGUCUGCUUAUUCUGU